rnacentral:rRNA from 1 species
AUUGAACGCUGGCGGCAGGCCUAACACAUGCAAGUCGAGCGGAUGAAGGGAGCUUGCUCCUGGAUUCAGCGGCGGACGGGUGAGUAAUGCCUAGGAAUCUGCCUGGUAGUGGGGGAUAACGUCCGGAAACGGGCGCUAAUACCGCAUACGUCCUGAGAGAGAAAGUGGGGGAUCUUCGGACCUCACGCUAUCAGAUGAGCCUAGGUCGGAUUAGCUAGUUGGUGGGGUAAAGGCCUACCAAGGCGACGAUCCGUAACUGGUCUGAGAGGAUGAUCAGUCACACUGGAACUGAGACACGGUCCAGACUCCUACGGGAGGCAGCAGUGGGGAAUAUUGGACAAUGGGCGAAAGCCUGAUCCAGCCAUGCCGCGUGUGUGAAGAAGGUCUUCGGAUUGUAAAGCACUUUAAGUUGGGAGGAAGGGCAGUAAGUUAAUACCUUGCUGUUUUGACGUUACCAACAGAAUAAGCACCGGCUAACUUCGU